rnacentral:rRNA from 1 species
UGAGGCACGAAAGCGUGGGGAGCAAACAGGAUUAGAUACCCUGGUAGUCCACGCCGUAAACGAUGAGUACUAAAUGUUGGGUAAAACCAGUGUUGAAGUUAACACAUUAAGUACUCCGCCUGAGUAGUACGUACGCAAGUAUGAAACUUAAAGGAAUUGACGGGACUCCGCACAAGCGGUGGAUCAUGUUGUUUAAUUCGAAGGUACCCGAAAAACCUCACCAGGUCUUGACAUGCUUCUGCAAAGCUGUAGAAACACAGUGGAGGUUAUCAGUUGCACAGGUGGUGCAUGGUUGUCGUCAGCUCGUGUCGUGAGAUGUUGGGUUAAGUCCCGCAACGAGCGCAACCCUUAUUGUUAGUUGCCAGCACGUAAUGGUGGGGACUUUAGCAAGACUGCCAGUGAUAAAUUGGAGGAAGGUGGGGACGACGUCAAAUCAUCAUGCCCCUUAUGACCUGGGCUACAAACGUGAUACAAUGGCUGUUACAAAGG